rnacentral:lncRNA from 1 species
CCAAAUCCUAUUUAUUUUUAGAUCUACAAAUCAUGCUCCACUUGACAAGAUAGUACCUUUUUUCCUUAUUAGGACCCUGCCAGAAAAAAUCACCUUGUGUUUAUUAAGUUUCUUCAUAAAUGUAUUAUUCAUCAACCACCUGGACAUAUGGUACAAGUAUAUUUGAGAGAGUACAACAUUAAGAAGAUUAUGCCUUCCACGAGUGGAUACAACAUUAUCCACCACCCAGAAGAUCUAGAGAAAUCACCGGAGGAAUAGGAGAGUCUAGCGAAACCCUAGGGGGUAAUACUAAUAAAAUAAGAGUUACGGCUGGAUAUAAUACCAAAUCCGAUUUAGCCCAGUAAGAAAACAAUAUCAGUCCUGUCUACGAAUAUGGAUGAUCCGAGAUGCGCGACGACGGCACACCCAAGCUACUAGUACAUGACAUUGGGGACUUUGUGUUGUUAUAUCUCUAGACAAACUGAUGAAAGGCGUCGUCAUUUCUGAAGAACCUGGAAUGAUGCAUUCUUUGAUGCCUCCCAUGUCUAUUCUACACUAGGACAUGCACCCAAGGAUAGUGGUGCCUAAAUGAACUUCAAGUCGAUCAGCUUUAUCGAAGUGCAAAGGCAGCAUUCCCUCUCCCUAUUUUAUAUAGGUCGAGCAAUGGAGCUAUGCUUGAUUUGAUUUGGUUCACCAACCUCACAACCAUACAUGGUUCAAGAAUGGUGUACUCGGUUAGUCAUUCUCACAACCAUACAUUUCUGACAACAUCAUAGUAAUUCUCAGUUGUAUUAUAGUAUGCAUUGAUUAUACCGUUUGCUGAAAAAAAAUUAUAUGAUAAAGAAGUUACUGCAUGCCGCGGAUUCUCUACAUGAAUAAGGCUCACUACAUCUAUCGGAAAACCGUGAUGCAAAAGCUUUAGAGAAAAAGACAAUCAUGAAAAAUUGCAUGCUCUACUAAGCUCGUGUGUUAGUUAGCUUAAUUGUCGGUCAAAGUUACCAAUGCCAGAACCGUUAAUAUAUUCUGAAGGAUGUGAAACAAAGUUUUCGUAGCUAAUUAAGCACACUAACACUCAUAGGGAUAGA